rnacentral:rRNA from 1 species
UUACCUACCCUUGACAUGGAUGGAAUCCUGAAGAGAUUUGGGAGUGCUCGAAAGAGAACCAUCACACAGGUGCUGCAUGGCUGUCGUCAGCUCGUGUCGUGAGAUGUUGGGUUAAGUCCCGCAACGAGCGCAACCCUUGUCAUUAGUUGCUACGAAAGGGCACUCUAAUGAGACUGCCGGUGACAAACCGGAGGAAGGUGGGGAUGACGUCAAGUCCUCAUGGCCCUUAUGGGUAGGGCUUCACACGUCAUACAAUGGUACAUACAGAGGGCCGCCAACCCGCGAGGGGGAGCUAAUCCCAGAAAGUGUAUCGUAGUCCGGAUUGGAGUCUGCAACUCGACUCCAUGAAGUUGGAAUCGCUAGUAAUCGCGGAUCAGCAUGUCGCGGUGAAUACGUUCCCGGGUCUUGUACACACCGCCCGUCACACCAUGGGAGCGGGUUUUACCAGAAGUGGGUAGCCUAACCGCAAGGAGGGCGCUCACCACGGUAGGAUUCGUGACUGGGGUGAAGUCGUAACAAA